AUCAACGCUGGCGGCGUGCCUAACACAUGCAAGUCGAACGCGAAAGGGGCUUCGGCCCUGAUUGAGUGGCGAACGGGUGAGUAACGCGUGGGUGAUCUACCUUUGAGUGGGGGAUAACGUUCCGAAGGGACGCUAAUACCGCAUGACGUUCCGGGUUUGAAGACCUGGAAACCAAAGCCGGGGACCGCAAGGCCUGGCGCUUAGAGAGGAGCCCGCGUCCGAUUAGCUAGUUGGCGGGGUAAUGGCCCACCCAAGGCGACGAUCGGUAGCCGGCCUGAGAGGGCGGACGGCCACACUGGGACUGAGACACGGCCCAGACUCCUACGGGAGGCAGCAGUGGGGAAUUGUUCACAAUGGGCGCAAGCCUGAUGACGCAACGCCGCGUGGGGGA
rnacentral:rRNA from 1 species